ACUGAGGUGCUACUGCAUACCAGGCACUGUACUAGAUGCUGGGGAAGCAGUCAUGAGCAAGAAAGAUGAGGUCCCUGUCCUCGCAGUGAGAGAGCAAGGCAUAAAAUAUGUCCAGAUGGUAAUGAGUGCCAAACUGCAAGGAAAAAGACACACAAGAGACCAACUCACACAAUCAAUGGAAGCCCAAGGUGUUCCCUCCUGUGAAUGUCCCCAGUAAACCUCCUAUAUGCAAAUCUCCAUCUCCUACUUGGCUUCCCAGACAAUCUGACCUGAGACAACUU